AGACCCGAAACCCGGUGAUCUAGCCAUGGGCAGGUUGAAGGUUGGGUAACACUAACUGGAGGACCGAACCGACUAAUGUUGAAAAAUUAGCGGAUGACCUGUGGCUGGGGGUGAAAGGCCAAUCAAACCGGGAGAUAGCUGGUUCUCCCCGAAAGCUAUUUAGGUAGCGCCUCGUGAAUUCAUCUCCGGGGGUAGAGCACUGUUUCGGCUAGGGGGCCAUCCCGGCUUACCAACCCGAUGCAAACUGCGAAUACCGGAGAAUGUUAUCACGGGAGACACACGGCGGGUGCUAACGUCCGUCGUGAAGAGGGAAACAACCCAGACCGCCAGCUAAGGUCCCAAAGUCAUGGUUAAGUGGGAAACGAUGUGGGAAGGCCCAGACAGCCAGGAUGUUGGCUUAGAAGCAGCCAUCAUUUAAAGAAAGCGUAAUAGCUCACUGGUCGAGUCGGCCUGCGCGGAAGAUGUAACGGGGCUAAACCAUGCACCGAAGCUGCGGCAGCGAACGUAUCACUUAAAGCGAUUCAGCGGGUUACGAUUGACGGAGCGAAGCGACGUCAAAGCGUAUACAAAGUCGAGUCGGUUUAAGGAUACGUUCGUUGGGUAGGGGAGCGUUCUGUAAGCCUGUGAAGGUGGCCUGUGAGGGUUGCUGGAGGUAUCAGAAGUGCGAAUGCUGACAUAAGUAACGAUAAAGCGGGUGAAAAGCCCGCUCGCCGGAAGACCAAGGGUUCCUGUCCAACGUUAAUCGGGGCAGGGUGAGUCGACCCCUAAGGCGAGGCCGAAAGGCGUAGUCGAUGGGAAACGGGUUAAUAUUCCCGUACUUGGUGUUACUGCGAAGGGGGGACGGAGAAGGCUAUGUUGGCCGGGCGACGGUUGUCCCGGUUUAAGCGUGUAGGUGUGUGUUCCAGGUAAAUCCGGUUCACUUUAACACUGAGGCGUGACGACGAGGCACUACGGUGCUGAAGCAACAAAUGCCCUGCUUCCAGGAAAAGCCUCUAAGCAUCAGGUAACAUCAAAUCGUACCCCAAACCGACACAGGUGGUCAGGUAGAGAAUACCAAGGCGCUU
rnacentral:rRNA from 1 species